rnacentral:rRNA from 1 species
AGUGAACGCUGGCGGUAGGCCUAACACAUGCAAGUCGAACGGCAGCACAGUAAGAGCUUGCUCUUACGGGUGGCGAGUGGCGGACGGGUGAGGAAUACAUCGGAAUCUACUUUUUCGUGGGGGAUAACGUAGGGAAACUUACGCUAAUACCGCAUACGACCUACGGGUGAAAGCAGGGGAUCUUCGGACCUUGCGCGAUUGAAUGAGCCGAUGUCGGAUUAGCUAGUUGGCGGGGUAAAGGCCCACCAAGGCGACGAUCCGUAGCUGGUCUGAGAGGAUGAUCAGCCACACUGGAACUGGGACACGGUCCAGACUCCUACGGGAGGAAGCAGUGGGGAAUAUUGGACAAUGGGCGCAAGCCUGAUCCAGCCAUACCGCGUGGGUGAAGAAGGCCUUCGGGUUGUAAAGCCCUUUUGUUGGGAAAGAAAAGCAGCAGGUUAAUACCCCGCUGUUCUGACGGUACCCAAAGAAUAAGCACCGGCUAACUUCGUG